UUGGAAUGAAAUUCCUGUAGUUUAACUUAGGACUUUCAUCCGAUACUGGAAAGCUAGUGUGUGGGAGAGGAUAGUAGACUACCAGGCGUAGCGGUGAAAUGCGUAGAGAUCUUGAGGGAAUACCGAUGGGCGAAGGCAGCCAUGUGGCUAAUACUGACGUUGAGGUACGAAAGCAUGGGGAGCAAACAGGAUUAGAUACCCUGGUAGUCCAUGCCGUAAACGAUGUGUACUAGCCGUUGGGGCCUUUGAGGCUUUAGUGGCGCAGCUAACGCGAUAAGUAGACCGCCUGGGGAGUACGGUCGCAAGACUAAAACUCAAAUGAAUUGACGGGGGCCCGCACAAGCGGUGGAGCAUGUGGUUUAAUUCGAUGCAACGCGAAGAACCUUACCUGGCCUUGACAUACUAAGAACUUUCCAGAGAUGGAUUGGUGCCUUCGGGAACUUAGAUACAGGUGCUGCAUGGCUGUCGUCAGCUCGUGUCGUGAGAUGUUGGGUUAAGUCCCGCAACGAGCGCAACCCUUUUCCUUAUUUGCCAUCGGGUAAUGCCGGGAACUUUAAGGAUACUGCCAGUGACAAACUGGAGGAAGGCGGGGACGACGUCAAGUCAUCAUGGCCCUUACGGCCAGGGCUACACACGUGCUACAAUGGUCGGUACAAAGGGUUGCUACCUCGCGAGAGGAUGCUAAUCUCAAAAAGCCGAUCGUAGUCCGGAUCGCAGUCUGCAACUCGACUGCGUGAAGUCGGAAUCGCUAGUAAUCGCGGAUCAGAAUGCCGCGGUGAAUACGUUCCCGGGCCUUGUACACACCGCCCGUCACACCAUGGGAGUUUGUUGCACCA
rnacentral:rRNA from 1 species